AUUGAACGCUGGCGGCAUGCCUUACACAUGCAAGUCGAACGGCAGCGCGGGAGCAAUCCUGGCGGCGAGUGGCGAACGGGUGAGUAAUAUAUCGGAACGUGCCCAGUAGUGGGGGAUAGCCCGGCGAAAGCCGGAUUAAUACCGCAUGAGACCUGAGGGUGAAAGCGGGGGAUCGCAAGACCUCGCGCUAUUGGAGCGGCCGAUAUCAGAUUAGCUAGUUGGUGGGGUAAAGGCCUACCAAGGCAACGAUCUGUAGUUGGUCUGAGAGGACGACCAGCCACACUGGGACUGAGACACGGCCCAGACUCCUACGGGAGGCAGCAGUGGGGAAUUUUGGACAAUGGGCGCAAGCCUGACCCAGCAAUGCCGCGUGCAGGAAGAAGGC
rnacentral:rRNA from 1 species